GAUGAACGCUGGCGGCGUGCCUAAUACAUGCAAGUCGAGCGAACAGACGAGGAGCUUGCUCCUUCGACGUUAGCGGCGGACGGGUGAGUAACACGUAGGUAACCUACCUAUAAGACUGGGAUAACUUCGGGAAACCGGAGCUAAUACCGGAUAAUAUUUCGAACCGCAUGGUUCGAUAGUGAAAGAUGGCUUUGCUAUCACUUAUAGAUGGACCUGCGCCGUAUUAGCUAGUUGGUAAGGUAACGGCUUACCAAGGCAACGAUACGUAGCCGACCUGAGAGGGUGAUCGGCCACACUGGAACUGAGACACGGUCCAGACUCCUACGGGAGGCAGCAGUAGGGAAUCUUCCGCAAUGGGCGAAAGCCUGACGGAGCAACGCCGCGUGAGUGAUGAAGGUCUUCGGAUCGUAAAACUCUGUUAUAGGGGAAGAACAAACGUGUAAGUAACUGUGCACGUCUUGACGGUACCUAAUCAGAAAGCCACGGCUAACUACGUG
rnacentral:rRNA from 1 species